AGGGUUAAAAGGGGGCGUGGCUUGAGAAAGGGGGCGUGGUCUGAUGUAGGGGGUGUGGCCUAUGAGGUGGGCGGGGCCUGUGGGGGGCGUGGCUUGGAGGGGGAGGCUGUGAUUGGCUGAUACACGGUGGGGGUGGGGUUUUAGCUGGUCCUUAAAGGGUUAAAAGGGGGCGUGGCUUCGCGUAGGGGGCGUGGCCUGGUGGGUGUGGCCUAAAGCAGGGGGCGUGGCCUGAGGUGGGCGUGGCUUGUGCAAAGGGGGCGUGGCCUUGGGUAUAGGGAAAGCCCCCAAUAGGUCCAGGGGGGCGUGGCCUCACAGAGGGGGCGUGGCUUCGCGGAAAGGGGCGUGGCUUGGAGAAGAGGGGGGCGUGGCCUCUCCCAGGGUGGUUUUUUUGGGGUAAAUUUUGGCCGUUUAGGUGCUGGAGAAGUCGCGCCCCAUGGAGCUGCGCCUGCGCUACCACCUGGACAAGCUGCUGCGGGCGGCCGCCGCCGGGGCACCGGGAGCCAACGACCCGCUGCGCUUCCGGCCCCAGCCCGGGAACAUGGGGGAUGAAGAGGAGGAGGAGGAGGAGGAUGAGGAGGGGCCAAGUGGGACGAAGGCCCCGGGGCUGGGCGGGGGGCGGCGCUAUGUGCCCCCCCGCCUGGUGCCCGUGCAGUACGUUUCCCCCCAAAAUACCCCUAAUCCUCCCAUAAUCCCCCUAAUUCCCCCGUUUUUAUUCCCAAUCCCCCGAUACUGCCACCCCAAUCCCCACAAUCCCUCUUUAAUCCCCCUAAUCCGGCAAUAAUCCCCCAAAUCCCACCAUUAUUCCCCAUAAUCCCUCUAUAAUUCCUACAUUUUCCCCCAAAACCCCUCUUAAUUCCUCCAUAAUUCCACCUAAUGCCCCUUAAUCCCACCCCAACCCCCAUAAUCCCAUCUAAUCCCCCUUAAUCCCACCCUUAUUGCCCCUAAUCCCCCUUAAUGCCACCCUUUUUCCCCAUAAUUCCUCCAUCUCUUCAUUUUCCCCCAUAACCCUCCCCUAAUCCCUCCAUAACCCCUCCUCAUGCCCCAUAAUCCCACCCCAACCCCUCAUAAUCCCAAUCCCCCCAUAAUCCCCUCUAAUCCCCCUUAAUCCCACCCUAAUUCCCCUUAAUCCCACUUUUAUUCCC
rnacentral:lncRNA from 1 species